CGGCGGACGGGUGAGUAACACGUAGGAAUCUACCUUGUGGAGGGGGAUAGCCCGGAGAAAUUCGGAUUAAUACCGCAUAAAGCCCAUGGGCUAAAGGAUGGGAUCUUUGGACCAUCUGCCACGAGAUGAGCCUGCGUUGGAUUAGCUAGUUGGUGAGGUAAAUGCUCACCAAGGCGACGAUCCAUAGCUGUUCUGAGAGGAUGAUCAGCCACACUGGGACUGAGACACGGCCCAGACUCCUACGGGAGGCAGCAGUGGGGAAUAUUGCACAAUGGGGGCAACCCUGAUGCAGCCAUGCCGCGUGUGUGAAGAAGGCCUUAGGGUUGUAAAGCACUUUCGCUGGUGAGGAAAGGUUAAUUGUUAAUAGCGAUUAACCGUGACGUUAACCAGAUAAGAAGCACCGGCUAACUCCGUGCCAGCAGCCGCGGUAAUACGGAGGGUGCGAGCGUUAAUCGGAAUUACUGGGCGUAAAGAGUACGUAGGCGGUUGUUUAAGUGAGAAGUGAAAGCCCUGGGCUCAACCUAGGAAGUGCUUUUCAAACUGAACGACUAGAGUACAAGAGAGGAGUGUGGAAUUUCCUGUGUAGCGGUGAAAUGCGUAGAUAUGGGAAGGAACAUCGGUGGCGAAGGCGGCACUCUGGACUGAUACUGACGCUG
rnacentral:rRNA from 1 species